UCUCAAUAGGCGGCAGAACAAAUUUUCCGUGUAGCUGCCAUCAAUUGUUGUUGAUAAAAAUUGUGGUUCACUCGAACCAAAUUAUUUAAAUCGUGUUUGUUAUUUUUUAUCAAUUUGUUUUUCGUUUCUUGUACCGCUAGAAAAGCCGGAGCUCCCAAAAGUUUUUUCCGGUUUGCGUGAAAAUAGCGAUUGCAGUUCAACGUAUUCUAUUUACUUCAAACUCAUUGUAUCUAUCGGAAAUGAAAUUGGUCGAUUUCGUAUUCUUUGUGGAUGCGGCUUCCGGAUACCCAGCUGAGUCACCAAUACCCGGAUACCCAGCAAAGCCAAUCAAACGGAGUUCUCCAUGAAGGUAGCCCAUAUGGUUCUCCGGUUUUCAUGUGAAAAAGACGAGGAAAAUGAUAAAUAAAAUAUCUAAUAUAACAAUG